AACGAACGCUGGCGGCAGGCCUAACACAUGCAAGUCGAACGCUGUAGCAAUACAGAGUGGCAGACGGGUGAGUAACGCGUGGGAACCUUCCCAAUGGUACGGAAUAGCUCAGGGAAACUUGAGGUAAUACCGUAUAAGCCCCGAGGGGGAAAGAUUUAUCGCCAUUGGAUGGGCCCGCGUCGGAUUAGCUAGUUGGUGAGGUAAUGGCUCACCAAGGCGACGAUCCGUAGCUGGUUUGAGAGAAUGACCAGCCACACUGGGACUGAGACACGGCCCAGACUCCUACGGGAGGCAGCAGUGGGGAAUCUUGGACAAUGGGCGAAAGCCUGAUCCAGCCAUGCCGCGUGAGUGAUGAAGGCCUUAGGGUUGUAAAGCUCUUUUGGCGGGGACGAUAAUGACGGUACCCGCAGAAUAAGUCCCGGCUAACUUCGUGCCAGCAGCCGCCGUAACAC
rnacentral:rRNA from 1 species